rnacentral:rRNA from 1 species
CCUACGGGAGGCAGCAGUGAGGAAUAUUGGUCAAUGGACGCAAGUCUGAACCAGCCAUGCCGCGUGCAGGAAGACGGCUCUAUGAGUUGUAAACUGCUUUUGUACGAGGGUAAACGCAGAUACGCGUAUCUGUCUGAAAGUAUCGUACGAAUAAGGAUCGGCUAACUCCGUGCCAGCAGCCGCGGUAAGACGGAGGAUUCAAGCGUUAUCCGGAUUUAUUGGGUUUAAAGGGUGCGUAGGCGGUCGGAUAAGUUAGAGGUGAAAUCCCGAGGCUCAACUUCGGAAUUGCCUCUGAUACUGUUCGGCUAGAGAGUAGUUGCGGUAGGCGGAAUGUAUGGUGUAGCGGGGAAAUGCUUAGAGAUCAUACAGAACACCGAUUGCGAAGGCAGCUUACCAAGCUACUUCUGACGUUGAGGCACGAAAGCGUGGGGAGCAAACAGGAUUAGAUACCCCAGUAGUC